AUGGCUAGAAAGGGAGGGAGGGCGAUGGUCGGAAAGUGGGGGGGUUGGCCAGAAAGGGGGUGGGGUGGCCACAGAAAGGAGGGGUGGCUAGAAAGGGGGGAGGAGGAUGGCCAGAAAGGGGGGGAAGGCCAGAAAGAGGGGCUGGCUAGAGAAGGGGGGAGGGGGAGAUGCGACCCCCACCCUCACCCCCGUCCCUUGUCGCUUGGUCUUCUUGGGUUUCCCCGCGUGGGAUCGGGGGGGGGGGGGGGAUGGGGGGAGGCGGAGGGUGCGUGGCGGUGCGGGAGAGGGUCCUGCCGGCGGGGAGGGGGAGCCGGGGUGGCCCCGCAGCUGGGAGCGGCGGCGGCGGCUGCGGGGGCGAUGCGGGGCGAUGCGGGGGCCGGAGCCGCGGGGCUAGCGCGGUCCCGUCGCCAUCGCCAUCAUCGCCAUCGCCAUCCCCGCCGCGGCGGCGGCGGCGGCUGCAGGUUUGCAGCAGGGACCGAGCGGACACUAGUUGGGCUGGCGGGCGGACCGGGCGGGGAGGGGCUUCUCGGAGACCCCGCCCUCCAGGCGGCCCGGCCCGGCCCGGCCCGCCCCCCUCCAUCCCCCCCCCCCCUCCCCGCCCCAGCCCGGCCUGACCCGGUAGUGACGGCGAGCAGAGGCGGGCUGGACCCCCGGCCAUCUCCAGGGGCCGGCGCCCGGGUGACUCUGUGUUUUGAUGUGUGUGUGUGUGACCUUGUGUGUGGAGGACCGUUUGGGGGGCGACCCUGGGGCCCGCCCCCCUCCCCUGCUCCGGACCCUCCCCCCGCCCCCUGGUCCUGGUCCUGGUCCCGGACCCCGCCCCCUCCUCCGUCCUUGUCCUCCGCCCCCUGCCCCGCUGCCUGCCCCAUCUCCCGGACCCUCUUCCUCUCCCCGUCCCCUCCUCUUGUCCCUGUCCCCCUGUCCCUGUCCCCCUCUCCCCAUCCCAGCCCCAGUCUUCACCCCCUGGCCCCUGUCCAGGGCUGCGCCCUCUGCCCCUGUGUCUGCCCCAGCCCGGCCCCUCUCCCCACCUCCUUUCCCUGUCUCCUUUCCCUGUCCCUUGACCCCUCCCCCUGUCCGGCUCCUGCUCUUGCCCCGUCCCUUUUCUGCUGA
rnacentral:lncRNA from 1 species